UCGUAGCAGAUAGCUCAGUAACACGUGGCCAAACUACCCUAUGGAUCCGAAUAACCUCGGGAAACUGAGGCUAAUGCGGAAUAGCGUUCAUCGCCUGGAGUGGCACGAACGCGAAACGUUACGGCGCCAUAGGAUGUGGCUGCGGCCGAUUAGGUAGACGGUGGGGUAACGGCCCACCGUGCCCAUAAUCGGUACGGGUUGUGAGAGCAAGAGCCCGGAGACGGUAUCUGAGACAAGAUACCGGGCCCUACGGGGCGCAGCAGGCGCGAAACCUUUACACUGCACGCGAGUGCGAUAAGGGGACUCCGAGUGCGAGGGCAUAUAGUCCUCGCUUUUCACGACCGUAAGGUGGUCGUAGAAUAAGUGCUGGGCAAGACCGGUGCCAGCCGCCGCGGUAAUACCGGCAGCACGAGUGAUGACCGCUAUUAUUGGGCCUAAAGCGUCCGUAGCUGGCCACGCAAGUCUAUC
rnacentral:rRNA from 1 species